UUCUUCACAGAUGGUUAGCCCUAGGAGGGGGACAGCAGUGAAUAAAAUACUUGGAGAUCUUUUGCUCUCACCACGUAGCAUGUGAGCUGACAAGGCUGGGCUUUGGUGUGUUUAAUUCCUGCUCAGGAUUAGAUCAGAGGGGUUGUCAGUCACUGAUGCCAUAAUUACUAGAUGAACCAGAACAGAGUGAGGGAGCCUUGUUGAGUUCUACCUUCCAGAAGCUGACAAUCAGAAGUGCCACCCUGGAGGUGGAAUCCAUAGCUUGGCGGAGACAAACAAAGAGAAUCCUGUAUGUGUA